rnacentral:rRNA from 1 species
UACGUAGGGUGCAAGCGUUAAUCGGAAUUACUGGGCGUAAAGCGUGCGCAGGCGGCUAUGCAAGACAGAUGUGAAAUCCCCGGGCUCAACCUGGGAACUGCAUUUGUGACUGCAUGGCUAGAGUACGGUAGAAGGGGAUGGAAUUCCGCGUGUAGCAGUGAAAUGCGUAGAUAUGCGGAGGAACACCGAUGGCGAAGGCAAUCCCCUGGGCCUGCACUGACGCUCAUGCACGAAAGCGUGGGGAGCAAACAGG